UAUCUUUAUGAAAUAUAUUGUAUUUUCCUUUAUUGACUAUAUCGACGAAUAAUGUAAUAUGUACAAAAGUAUUUUACUGAAUCUCCUUUUCUGUUUUCCUGAUUUUUAUAUGAUUUUAAUGUUAUGUUGUAACUUAUUUUUAGAUCCUCAUAUUGCUGCUGUUUUUAAAACUUUACUCGACAGGCAAGAAGAAUUAAAUGGUAAAGUCGAUCAUAUUAUUUUGAUGCUUUAUAAUCUAUCGCAAGUUAGCUCCUGAAGAAGAAAAAACUAUUAAACCGAGGAAUUUCCCUGCACUUCCUUUAAACAUUAAAGAUUCUUUUCUAGAAUUUGAAGCAUAUCUUAAAUCUGAUGAUAAUUUUUAUCCUACAGUAAAUUAUUUUGUUAAACUAAUGAAAAUAGAUGAACAAACUGAUGAGAAAACAGCUGUUGGCCGUUUGUUACCCAAAAUUACGUCUAAUUCGUUAGCACGCAUGAUGAAUUAUACAGGAUCAAGUGUUAAGCUUAAAUUGGAAAAUACAAAAAUUUAUGAGGCAAUCAACUGUGCUGUUUUGAAUACAUUCCCAGAAAGCAACUUAACUAAAACAGAAAAAAAAAUAUCACGCUAGUUGUACACUAGCAAUCAGCGGAAACUUUAAUAUAAAAGUUAAUAUUUAGUUUUGUUCUCUAUAAAAUAUA